AACGCUGGCGGCGUGCCUAAUACAUGCAAGUCGAACGCACAGCGAAAGGUGCUUGCACCUUUCAAGUGAGUGGCGAACGGGUGAGUAACACGUGGACAACCNGCCUCAAGGCUGGGGAUAACAUUUGGAAACAGAUGCUAAUACCGAAUAAAACUCAGUGUCGCAUGACACAAAGUUAAAAGGCGCUUUGGCGUCACCUAGAGAUGGAUCCGCGGUGCAUUAGUUAGUUGGUGGGGUAAAGGCCUACCAAGACAAUGAUGCAUAGCCGAGUUGAGAGACUGAUCGGCCACAUUGGGACUGAGACACGGCCCAAACUCCUACGGGAGGCUGCAGUAGGGAAUCUUCCACAAUGGGCGAAAGCCUGAUGGAGCAACGCCGCGUGUGUGAUGAAGGCUUUCGGGUCGUAAAGCACUGUUGUAUGGGAAGAACAGCUAGAAUAGGGAAUGAUUUUAGUUUGACGGUACCAUACCAGAAAGGGACGGCUAAAUACGUGCCAGCAGCCGCGGUAAUACGUAUGUCCCGAGCGUUAUCCGGAUUUAUUGGGCGUAAAGCGAGCGCAGACGGUUGAUUAAGUCUGAUGUGAAAGCCCGGAGCUCAACUCCGGAAUGGCAUUGGAAACUGG
rnacentral:rRNA from 1 species